rnacentral:rRNA from 1 species
GACGAACGCUGGCGGCGUGCCUAAUACAUGCAAGUAGAACGCUGAAGAGAGGAGCUUGCUCUUCUUGGAUGAGUUGCGAACGGGUGAGUAACGCGUAGGUAACCUGCCUUUUAGCGGGGGAUAACUAUUGGAAACGAUAGCUAAUACCGCAUAACAAUGGAUGACACAUGUCAUUUAUUUGAAAGGGGCAAUUGCUCCACUACAAGAUGGACCUGCGUUGUAUUAGCUAGUAGGUGAGGUAAUUGCUCACCUAGGCGACGAUACAUAGCCGACCUGAGAGGGUGAUCGGCCACACUGGGACUGAGACACGGCCCAGACUCCUACGGGAGGCAGCAGUAGGGAAUCUUCGGCAAUGGGGGCAACCCUGACCGAGCAACGCCGCGGGAGUGAAGAAGGUUUUCGGAUCGUAAAGAUCUGUUGUAAGUCAAGAACGGGUGUGAGAGUGGAAAGUUCACACUGUGACGGUAGCUUACCAGAAAGGGACGGCUAACUACGUG